GACGAACGCUGGCGGCGUGCUUAACACGUGCAAGUCGAACGGAAAGGCCCUGCUUUUGUGGGGUGCUCGAGUGGCGAACGGGUGAGUAACACGUGAGUAACCUGCCCUUGACUUUGGGAUAACUUCAGGAAACUGGUGCUAAUACCGGAUAGGAGCUCCUGCUGCAUGGUGGGGGUUGGAAAGUUUCGGCGGUUGGGGAUGGACUCGCGGCUUAUCAGCUUGUUGGUGGGGUAGUGGCUUACCAAGGCUUUGACGGGUAGCCGGCCUGAGAGGGUGACCGGCCACAUUGGGACUGAGAUACGGCCCAGACUCCUACGGGAGGCAGCAGUGGGGAAUAUUGCACAAUGGGCGGAAGCCUGAUGCAGCAACGCCGCGUGCGGGAUGACGGCCUUCGGGUUGUAAACCGCUUUCGCCUGUGACGAAGCGUGAGUGACGGUAAUGGGUAAAGAAGCACCGGCUAACUACGUG
rnacentral:rRNA from 1 species